UUUUUUUUGCUUUUGUGCUCAUUAUUAUUAUGGGAAAACUUCAAAUACUCCCUUGUGGUUUCACUUUUUUUCACUUUAGUAUUCUCUAGUUUAAAGUGUAUCAAAUUAGUACCAUGUGAUUUUGCACUUUUUCAUUUUAGUACCCUGUGAUUUAAAGUGUAUUAAGUUAAUACCCUGUGGUUUCGCACUUUAUCACUUUAGUACCUUGUGGUUUCGCACUGUAUUACUUUAGUACCCUGUGGUUUCGCACUUUAUCACUUUAGUACCCUGUGGUUUAAAAAAACUACAGAAUACUAACUUGAUACAAAAAUAAAACCACAGGGUACUAACUUGAUACAAAAAUAAAAUCAUAGAGUACUAACUGGACACACUUUAAACCACAGGGUAUUAAAGAGAUAAAGUGAGAAACCACAGGGUACCAACUUGAUACAUUAACUGGACACACUUUAAACCNUUAAAGAGAUAAAGUGAGAAACCACAGGGUACCAACUUGAUACAUUAACUGGACACACUUUAAACCACAGGGUAUUAAAGAGAUAAAGUGAGAAACCAAAAGGUACCAACUUGAUACAUUUUAAACUACAGAAUACUAAAAUGAAAAAGUACGAAAUCACAUGGAGGUUUUGAAGUUUUCUCUAUUAUUGUUGAAAUUUUUUGAAUUUAAAAGUGGGA
rnacentral:lncRNA from 1 species